AUUAUCUGCAAAUUUGAAAAGCCUCAGUUAAAGCUUUCCUCUCCCUUCUCUGAGUAUUUCUUAACGCCAAAUACAUCAUGUCAGAAAUCUGCAUUUUGAUUCACUUCAUGGUUGCUUGAAUGCCCUCUACUCAAUAAGGAGAACCUCACUGCCUCCCCAAAGAAGUCACGCACAUUAGGUAUAACAAAUUGCCUUCUUAAAGUAAUUGUUUCUUCAUUUACCGUAAUACAAGUCAGGCACUCCACUCAGACUAAAUACUUCAUUUUUAGACAACAAAUUGAGGUUAUUCCCAUCUUGCGUGCCAAAAACCUACAUUUCAGAGCUUAAGCAGUGCACUGCACCUCUUUCAGGCUGAGGUAAGUUGCAUAGCUUACACAAAAUACACAGCUAGUGUAAACCAAGUGGACACACAGAAGCAUGGAUGAUCAAACCUAGCAGGAGUUUCAAAAGGUAUCUCACUAAAUUACCUACAAAUAUCAGUGAAAAUAUUUGUGGUAAUUAAAAUACUGUGAUGUGACAGCAUUUUAAAAACAUUUACAAAUGAUUGCGCUUAUCUUUGUCUCUUGCAUGUUUUCUGUGAAUUUAUCAGGUGAGUGAAUGAGAUAUAAGCUUACCCUGAGCUGAAAGGAAAGAAAACAGAAGCAUGUAGACUACCUGGAACACAAUGGGACAGCUUGUUUCACAGGUUCUCCUCAUCUUUUCUGCCUCCUAACACCUUACCAAAGGCUGAAGGAGAUGUGAUACCUCAGAACAGCUGGCUCUGCCCAAGGAUUUGGCAUCCACUGCUCCUCUUGAAGCCCAGGAGACCCGAGAGAAGUGCUGGAGGUACAACACAGCUGGAAGCUCGGCUCGCAGGCAGACACAAAAGUGGAACAGGAAAGCAGGAGAAAAGAAACGCUCCUUUGUCUCGUGGUUGAACUGGUUGCCCUUGCUGGGAUACAAGCAGUUCAUCUGGGCAGAGAAACCCACUGGCCCACUUGGCAUCCUGCGGCUCUUGGCACACGUUAAACAGGUCGGUAGGUGGUCUGGCACAGAGCUCUGGACGUGCUUUCUCACAAGGGUUCUUGCUUCGCAGGGGGAAAAACAGUUCAACGGAAAGAUCUUUUCUGCAGGGUUCAUCAAUGGCUUCAUGGCAGUCAGGGAAUGGUGUUCAGUGUGUUGCUGAACGCUAAAAAUGCUUUGAUUCUCCGAGGUGCUACAGUUCAUUUUGUUGGUACAGUCUUAUUUGGAAAUAAGGAAAUUUGUUCUGUCCCAGUGCUUUAUGCAGCAGUUUUGGUAGAGGAACUGUGGAUAUAGAGAUCGUGACAUUACUGGAUGAAAUAAUCCUGCUGGAGAUGUUAGGAAGGCUGACCAAGAGUCACUGUGCUCCUCUCUGCCUGGAUAUCUGUUUUGGCUCUGAGGACUGUGAAGCAUCUCGUUUGCUCACCCCAAAUCUUUGAAGGAGCUGAUUAUGCUGACAGUUAGUCUUACUAAUUGUUAUUAUAUCAUUGCUGCAGGAAUAGAUUAAUUCUUAUGUAAAGUAUGCCUGAUUUACACUCAGCUCUUAGAAGAACUUUUCGUUUCAAGUAGGGAUGUAGGUAGGAAAUAAGAGGAAGCCAGUAGAAAAUUCAGGAUGUGCUGGACAAAUUUGAGACGUAUUUUCUAUCAGUCUGAUGCUGUUUCUCAGCCCUUCUUUUUUGCACGGUUUGUUCUUGUAACAGCUGACCAUUACCUGAAAGGUAACAAUUUUCCUCUAUGAUCUUUCACUUAUGGGCACUGAGGGGACAUUGGGCCAUGACUGAGGCAGUGGCCAUGAUACGUUAUUGAAGCUGAUAGUUACAGCCUCAGCAGUGUCAUCAGCUGGAUCAGCAAAACUGACCCUACAAGGAAGAUGUGAAGUUUUAUGUCUUUCACUGGAGUUUAAUCUGUCAUAAUCUUACUCUUAUUUCUUCUCAGCGGUUUGAACUGCGACUUUUACUUGUAGUAAAGAUGGAUUAUCUGUG
rnacentral:lncRNA from 1 species